rnacentral:sRNA from 1 species
GGAAGGAUCAUUACAGAAUUGUCAACGGGUUGUUGCUGGUCCUCGAACGGGGACAUGUGCACGCUCUGUUUACACAUCCACUCACACCUGUGCACCCUCCGUAGUUCUGUGGUCUGGGGGACCCUGUCUUCCUGCCGUGGUUCUACGUCUUUACACACACACACUGUAAUAAAGUCUUAUGGAAUGUAUGCCGCGUCUAACGCAAUACAAUACAACUUUCAGCAACGGAUCUCUUGGCUCUCGCAUCGAUGAAGAACGCAGCGAAAUGCGAUAAGUAAUGUGAAUUGCAGAAUUCAGUGAAUCAUCGAAUCUUUGAACGCACCUUGCGCCCCUUGGCUAUUCCGAGGGGCAUGCCUGUUUGAGUAUCAUGAACACCUCAACUCUCAUGGUUCGCCGUGAUGAGCUUGGACUCUGGGGGUUUUGCUGGCCUGCGGUCGGCUCCCCUCAAAUGAAUCAGCCUCCCAGUGUUUGGUGGCAUCACGGGUGUGAUAAAUAUCUACGCUCGCAGUUGUCCACCAGGUAACCUUUGGCGACAAAGGUUUGCUGGAGCUCACAGAUGUCUCUCCUCGGUGAAGACAGCUUUUUGAACGUUCGAUCUCAAAUCAGGUAGGACUACCCGCUGAACUUAAGCAUAUCAAUAAGCGGAGGAAAAGAAACUAACAAGGAUUCCCCUAGUAACUGCGAGUGAAGCGGGAAGAGCUCAAAUUUAAAAUCUGGCGUGCCUCUGGUCGUCCGAAGAUG